UGGGGAAUUUUGGACAAUGGGGGCAACCCUGAUCCAGCAAUGCCGCGUGUGUGAAGAAGGCCUUCGGGUUGUAAAGCACUUUUGUCCGGAAAGAAAUGGCCUGGGCUAAUACCCCGGGUCGAUGACGGUACCGGAAGAAUAAGCACCGGCUAACUACGUGCCAGCAGCCGCGGUAAUACGUAGGGUGCGAGCGUUAAUCGGAAUUACUGGGCGUAAAGCGUGCGCAGGCGGUUUGGUAAGACAGGCGUGAAAUCCCCGAGCUCAACUUGGGAAUGGCGCUUGUGACUGCCAGGCUAGAGUAUGUCAGAGGGGGGUAGAAUUCCACGUGUAGCAGUGAAAUGCGUAGAGAUGUGGAGGAAUACCGAUGGCGAAGGCAGCCCCCUGGGACGUCACUGACGCUCAUGCACGAAAGCGUGGGGAGCAAACAG
rnacentral:rRNA from 1 species